UGGUGUCUACGUCAUGUUGUGAUUAGUUUACGAUUAGGGUGAAUUGUAGAGACGAAAGAACUGGGGUUGGUGAAUUGCAGACACCAAUCUCGUAAUUCGGGUGAAUUGGAGAACUGGAGAUUGGGAUAAAAACGUCAAUGCAACUAGGAGAGAAAUGCCUAAUUGUAGUAGCACAUUGAAAAGUACCUAUUUGGACAAAGCACAUAGAAAAAAAGGCAAGAUCUCGUAAUUGAUCCUACUUUAUAAUCAUUGACCAUACUUGGCCUUGUACUCUCUACAUAGCUGUCAAAUCGGAUGGAGAUGAGGUUUU